rfam:Micromonospora rosaria strain DSM 803 contig223, whole genome shotgun sequence.
GCGGUGCCGCCGCCCAAUCGCCACUGCGCGAGCCGGGGAACCAGGUACCUGGGGUGAAUCCGCGUCAGCGGUAGGGGCUACUUCCGUCCCGAACCCGUCAGCUAACCCGGUCGGCGGCCGACGGAAGGGAAG